UGGUGGGUUGCCUUGUCAGGUUGAUUCCGGUAACGAACGAGACCUCAGCCUGCUAAAUAGCCACGCGGAAUCCGUUUCGUGGGAGGCUUCUUAGAGGGACUAUCGGGGCUUUACCCGGUGGAAGUGUGAGGCAAUAACA
rnacentral:rRNA from 1 species